rnacentral:misc_RNA from 1 species
CCUCCGUUGGUGAACCAGCGGAGGGAUCAUUACCGAGUUUACAACUCCCAAACCCCAUGUGAACCUUACCAAACGUUGCUUCGGCGGGAUGCCCCGGGCGCGGGCCGCAAGGCCUCAGCCCCGGAACCGGGCGCCCGCCGGAGGCCCAAACCAAACUCUUGUUUUUGUAGAAUCUUCUGAGUGGCCUUUUAGGCAAAAAAUGAAUCAAAACUUUCAACAACGGAUCUCUUGGUUCUG